rnacentral:rRNA from 1 species
GUAAGGAAUAUUGGGCAAUGGGCGCAAGCCUGACCCAGCCAUGCCGCGUGAAGGAUGACGGCCCUAUGGGUUGUAAACUUCUUUUGUACGGGAAAAAACCACCGGUCGUGACCGGUGCUGAUGGUACCGUAAGAAUAAGCAUCGGCUAACUCCGUGCCAGCAGCCGCGGUAAUACGGAGGAUGCAAGCGUUAUCCGGAUUCAUUGGGUUUUACGGGUGCGCAGGCGGAAUAAUACGUCAGUGGUGAAAUCCUACGGCUCAACUGUAGAACUGCCAUUGAUAAUGUUAUUCUUGAGUACACUUGAAGUGGGCGGAAUGUGUCAUGUAGCGGUGAAAUGCUUAGAUAUGACACAGAACACCGAUCGCGAAGGCAGCUCACUAAAUUGUAACUGACGCUCAUGCACGAAAGCGUGGGGAUCAAACAGGAUUAGAUACCCUAGUAGUCC